AGAUACCAUACUACCUGGAUAACCCCAAAAACUCUACAUCCUGUGUUUUUCAAAGGAUGUUGCCAAAAUUGAUGCUGCUUUUUACGACAGAAAUAAGGGGAAAACAUAUUACUUCAUAGGGGACAGAUUUUGGAGUUAUAAUCAAAUAAAUGAGUCCAUGGACAGGAAGCCCAGACUGGUAAAAGAUGCAUAAGAUGCAUUUACAGGAAUUAAUGGAAAAGUUGAUGCUGUUUUUCAACAUGAGAGCACCCAGUUUGGCAAUGCUGAGCAGAUGGGUCUUGGACCUGGCAGGGUGGUUUGAGGCAACCUGGGUGAUGUAUGGAUGCUCACUCUCCAGGCAAGAGCUGUCUCUGAACAGUUGGAGACUUGGAAAGGAGAAGGUGACAAUGAGAGAACUGUUGUGUGAUGAGAACAGCAGAUGACCGAAACCUCUCUUUCCAUCAUUCAAGGGAGAUGUGCUGAAGGACACGCAGUGGGAAGCCAACGCAGAUGGUGAAACGGGACCAACACGACGGAAAUUCCCAAGGCAGAGUGAAGCCACUGCUUCUGCUUUCUCUUCCUGAUGCUGUUUAAAAUUUUCAUUCAAUGACUGUAAGCACAUAAGCAGCUCCCACUGCUAGUUCUGGAAUCCAGGACUCCCUAAUUCUGCCAUUGGCUGUCCUAAAAAUUAAUUUAUUUGUAGUUUCCAGGAAGACAACCAGAUGUCCCCUCCUACCCUCUGUCUGACUCAGUAUCCUCCUAGUCCCAUUAAAAUUUGGCAAAAGACCAUUUCCAGAAGUGUGCACAGCAGCAGAAGCUUCCUGUACAAUCUGUAGCUUGUGAUUUCCUAAUGUUCCCAUCUCAGCCACUGGACCCAUCUG